GAUGAACGCUGGCGGCGUGCCUAAUACAUGCAAGUCGAGCGAACAGACGAGGAGCUUGCUUCUCUGACGUUAGCGGCGGACGGGUGAGUAACACGUGGAUAACCUACCUAUAAGACUGGGAUAACUUCGGGAAACCGGAGCUAAUACCGGAUAAUAUAUUGAACCGCAUGGUUCAAUAGUGAAAGACGGUUUUGCUGUCACUUAUAGAUGGAUCCGCGCCGCAUUAGCUAGUUGGUAAGGUAACGGCUUACCAAGGCAACGAUGCGUAGCCGACCUGAGAGGGUGAUCGGCCACACUGGAACUGAGACACGGUCCAGACUCCUACGGGAGGCAGCAGUAGGGAAUCUUCCGCAAUGGGCGAAGGCCUGACGGAGCAACGCCGCGUGAGUGAUGAAGGUCUUCGGAUCGUAAAACUCUGUUAUUAGGGAAGAACAAAUGUGUAAGUAACUAUGCACGUCUUGACGGUACCUAAUCAGAAAGCCACGGCUAACUACGUG
rnacentral:rRNA from 1 species